UAAUAGUGUAUAUUAAAGUUGUUGCAGUUAAAAGCUCGUAGUUGAAUGUUGGUGUCGAACGAGCGGUCAGCUUCGGCUGUACUGCUCUCUCGACUCCUUCCUUCUGUGGACUACGUCGCACUUUACUGUGUGGCGCUAGGACGCAGAUCGUUUACUGUGAAAAAAUUAGAGUGUUCAAAGCAGGCCGUACGCUUGAAUACAUUAGCAUGGAAUAAUGGAAUAGGACGUCGGGCCUAUUUUGUUGGUUCUAGGACCGUCGUAAUGAUUAAUAGGGACAGUUGGGGCCGUUUAUAUUCCGUAGUCAGAGGUGAAAUUCUUGGAUUUACGGAAGAUAAACUACUGCGAAAGCAUUCGGCAAGGAUGUUUUCGUUAA
rnacentral:rRNA from 1 species